UCGACAACGAUUUACAGCAAAGCGAACUGGUAACAGCACAGCAACAGGGUUCCUCGCCUACUCUGACGCUGAUCACCUCAAAGAUGAGUGCAGCCCCCAUCGUCCACACACUGAGCACAGUUAAUGCUUAAUUUUAAACUGAAAAUAGAGAAAGCAUUGCAA